AUUCAAUGCCAGAGGUCCCGGAACCUGCAGUGUUUUCUCAUUGACCUACUAUUUCCCUAGGAGCCAGAGUCAGCAUGACGGUAGACUUUUCCAGAACAGGACCUAUUCUAUCAAGGAUCGGUACUUGGGAAUAAGCUUCUCAUUUCAUCCUAAAGGAUUCUGUCACUCCACUGAAAUCUUAAGAGUCUCCAGUGCUUGUUAGGAAAGUGUGGAAGAUGAACCCCUUCUUCAUCCACAGAUCUGCCCUGCCGGUGUUUGACACCCGAGUCUGAAGCUGGCACCUCAUCCAUUUCCUAGUCCUGCCUUUUUGCUCCCCGGGCUCCCUUUCCAGUGCCACCAUCGCCCUCUUUGCACUUCCCUUGCACUCCAUCUCAGAAGCAGACUUCAAGGAGAUCAAAAGAGGCUGCUCCUCAAGGAAGAGCAGGGGUCCUGCGGCUAGAAAGCGGGGGGCAGUCUCUGUCCACACUCAAAAAUCAAAGAAUUAGCCCGACUUAAUCAAACAAAAUAUUACUAUGUUUUCCGAACAACUUAUUCAGCUCAGAGUCAAGCAACUAUAAAACUGAGGCACAGAGAAAUUAAGUUACAGGAUCACACAACUAGCCAUUAGCAGGAUGUAAAGUAAUUGAAAUAACAGCAUCAUGAACCUAUUUGCUACCCAUGGAGCUAAAAAUGGACAAACUGGAAAUAUAACUAUUGUAAGUUCUUCAGCAUGGCUUACCU